rnacentral:rRNA from 1 species
CAGCCGCCGCGGUAAAACGGAGGUGGCAAGCGCUGUCCGGAAUUAUUGGGCGUAAAGGGCUCGCAGGCGGUUUCUUAAGUCUGAUGUGAAAGCCCCCGGCUCAACCGGGGAGGGUCAUUGGAAACUGGGAAACUUGAGUGCAGAAGAGGAGAGUGGAAUUCCACGUGUAGCGGUGAAAUGCGUAGAGAUGUGGAGGAACACCAGUGGCGAAGGCGACUCUCUGGUCUGUAACUGACGCUGAGGAGCGAAAGCGUGGGGAGCGAACAGGAUUAGAGACCCCUGUAGUCCCUGUCUCUUAUAC